rnacentral:rRNA from 1 species
UGCAAGUCGAGCGGCAGCGGGAAAGUAGCUUGCUACUUUUGCCGGCGAGCGGCGGACGGGUGAGUAAUGCCUGGGGAUCUGCCCAGUCGAGGGGGAUAACUACUGGAAACGGUAGCUAAUACCGCAUACGCCCUACGGGGGAAAGCAGGGGACCUUCGGGCCUUGCGCGAUUGGAUGAACCCAGGUGGGAUUAGCUAGUUGGUGAGGUAAUGGCUCACCAAGGCGACGAUCCCUAGCUGGUCUGAGAGGAUGAUCAGCCACACUGGAACUGAGACACGGUCCAGACUCCUACGGGAGGCAGCAGUGGGGAAUAUUGCACAAUGGGGGAAACCCUGAUGCAGCCAUGCCGCGUGUGUGAAGAAGGCCUUCGGGUUGUAAAGCACUUUCAGCGAGGAGGAAAGGUCAGUACCCAACAUCUGCUGGCUGUGACGUUAC